rnacentral:rRNA from 1 species
GCCGCGUGCAGGAUGACGGUCCUAUGGAUUGUAAACUGCUUUUAUACAGGAAGAAACACCUCUACGUGUAGAGACUUGACGGUACUGUAAGAAUAAGGAUCGGCUAACUCCGUGCCAGCAGCCGCGGUAAUACGGAGGAUCCAAGCGUUAUCCGGAAUCAUUGGGUUUAAAGGGUCCGUAGGCGGUCAGGUAAGUCAGUGGUGAAAGCCCAUCGCUCAACGGUGGAACGGCCAUUGAUACUGUCUGACUUGAAUUAUUAGGAAGUAACUAGAAUAUGUAGUGUAGCGGUGAAAUGCUUAGAGAUUACAUGGAAUACCAAUUGCGAAGGCAGGUUACUACUAAUUGAUUGACGCUGAUGGACGAAAGCGUGGGUAGCGAACAGGAUUAGAUACCCUGGUAGUCCACGCCGUAAACGAUGGAUACUAGCUGUUGGGAGCAAUCUCAGUGGCUAC